AACUUAUCAACCGUGACUUGGGUUUAGGCCCCUGGCUCGGCUUGGAUUUGGGUGCUUGCGGCCUUGCGUCGCUCACCUUAAAAGGAUUAGCUGGACAUGUCGUGAGACUUGGUUCUACUUGGCGUAAUAAGUAUUUCGCUGAGGACAUCCCCUCGUGGGGUGGCCAUGACUCUGGUACAGACGUCUGCUUUCUAACCCGAUCGUCCUCGGACAUCACUUUUUAUG
rnacentral:misc_RNA from 2 species